CCUUUCUCUAAGGGAGUGCAAAAUCUCAAACAUCACAAAGUUGAUAAUUUUAAUAAAGUUUGAGAAAGAAUAAUGGCAUUGAGCAGAGUGAAAAGGGGUGUUGUGGUGAUGCUAAUGGUUAUGCUGAUUAUAACCAAAGUUUGUGAUGCAACUCAAUCUCAAGAAAUUGAGCCAAAUGAUUCGAGCUUUACUUGUCAUGCUAAGUGUCUCAAAACAUGUUUUGGUUUGAAGAAAAAAUUAGGGGAUUAUAUAUUAUGCGUGAAAGCUUGUGAUAAACAUUGCGGUGGUGUUUCUUACCAUCCAUAGUGGUGCUUGUGGAGUGCAACAUACAUAGUGAUUCAAGCUCAUAGACAUGCAACAAUAAUAAUAAUAAUAAACAUUUAAUUUGUAUGUUAUGUGAGACUCUCCAUAAGAAAAUAAUUUCACAACAUCAAUGAAUGAUGGUUUAUGUCAUACUACAAUAUAUGAAUUUCAAUUUAUUAUAUCGAUUGGCUAUAUCCAUCUAUCU